GACGAACCGUGCGAACGUUAUUCGGAAUCACUGGGCUUAAAGCGCGUGUAGGCGGGCCGGCACGUCGGUCGCUGAAAUCCCCCGGCUCAACCGGGGAAGGGGCGCCGAUACGACCGGCCUGGAGGGGCGUAGGGGGACCUGGAACUUCCGGUGGAGCGGUGAAAUGCGUUGAGAUCGGAAGGAACGCCCGUGGCGAAAGCGGCUUACUGGGUCUCUUCUGACGCUGAGGUACGAAAGCCAGGGGAGCGAAGGGG
rnacentral:rRNA from 1 species